rnacentral:sRNA from 1 species
CUUUAGCCCCGAUUGCAGCGAUAUCCUUUUUUUAUAAACCCUUUCAGGGUUUUAAACCCUGAAAGGGUUUAUAAAAAAAGAUAUAGCGUAAAGCGGGAAAAUCA